AGCAGUAGGGAAUCUUCCACAAUGGGCGCAAGCCUGAUGGAGCAACACCGCGUGAGUGAAGAAGGGUUUCGGCUCGUAAAGCUCUGUUGUUGGAGAAGAACGUGCGUGAGAGUAACUGUUCACGCAGUGACGGUAUCCAACCAGAAAGUCACGGCUAACUACGUGCCAGCAGCCGCGGUAAUACGUAGGUGGCAAGCGUUAUCCGGAUUUAUUGGGCGUAAAGCGAGCGCAGGCGGUUGCUUAGGUCUGAUGUGAAAGCCUUCGGCUUAACCGAAGAAGUGCAUCGGAAACCGGGCGACUUGAGUGCAGAAGAGGACAGUGGAACUCCAUGUGUAGCGGUGGAAUGCGUAGAUAUAUGGAAGAACACCAGUGGCGAAGGCGGCUGUCUGGUCUGCAACUGACGCUGAGGCUCGAAAGCAUGGGUAGCGAACAGGAUUAGAUACCCUGGUAGUCCAUGCCGUAAACGAUGAGUGCUAGGUGUUGGAGGGUUUCCGCCCUUCAGUGCCGGAGCUAACGCAUUAAGCACUCCGCCUGGGGAGUACGACCGCAAGGUUGAAUCUCAAAGGAAUUGACGGGGGCCCGCACAAGCGGUGGAGCAUGUGGUUUAAUUCGAAGCUACGCGAAGAACCUUACCAGGUCUUGACAUCUUGCGCUAACCUUAGAGAUAAGGCGUUCCCUUCGGGGACGCAAUGACAGGUGGUGCAUGGUCGUCGUCAGCUCGUGUCGUGAGAUGUUGGGUUAAGUCCCGCAACGAGCGCAACCCUUGUUACUAGUUGCCAGCAUUAAGUUGGGCACUCUAGUGAGACUGCCGGUGACAAACCGGAGGAAGGUGGGGACGACGUCAGAUCAUCAUGCCCCUUAUGACCUGGGCUACACACGUGCUACAAUGGACGGUACAACGAGUCGCAAGCUCGCGAGAGUAAGCUAAUCUCUUAAAGCCGUUCUCAGUUCGGACUGUAGGCUGCAACUCGCCUACACGAAGUCGGAAUCGCUAGUAAUCGCGGAUCAGCAUGCCGCGGUGAAUACGUUCCCGGGCCUUGUACACACCGCCCGUC
rnacentral:rRNA from 1 species